rnacentral:rRNA from 1 species
UUUGACCUCGGAUCAGGUAGGAAUACCCGCUGAACUUAAGCAUAUCAAUAAAGCG